rfam:Ancylostoma ceylanicum strain HY135 Acey_s0327_scaf, whole genome shotgun sequence.
AGCAGGUCCGGAGUCAGUGGGUUAUCAACAUGUCAGAACCCCCCAUUGGCACUCACUCGACCUGUGC